rnacentral:rRNA from 1 species
UUGAACGCUGGCGGCAUGCCUUACACAUGCAAGUCGAACGGCAGCACGGGAGCAAUCCUGGUGGCGAGUGGCGAACGGGUGAGUAAUAUAUCGGAACGUGCCCAGUGAUGGGGGAUAGCCCGGCGAAAGCCGGAUUAAUACCGCAUACGACCUACGGGUGAAAGCAGGGGAUCGCAAGACCUUGCGUCAUUGGAGCGGCCGAUAUCAGAUUAGCUUGNGGUGGGGUAAAAGCCUACCAAGGCGACGAUCUGUAGCUGGUCUGAGAGGACGACCAGCCACACUGGGACUGAGACACGGCCCAGACUCCUACGGAGGCAGCAGUGGGGAAUUUUGGACAAUGGGCGCAAGCCUGAUCCAGCCAUGCCGCGUGCGGGAAGAAGGCCUCGGUUGUAACG